rnacentral:rRNA from 1 species
AAUAUUUCGCAAUGGGGGGAACCCUGACGCAGCGAGGCCGCGUGAGCGAUGAAGGCCUUCGGGUCGUAAAGCUCUGUCCUCAGGGAAGAAUAAAUGACGGUACCCAAUGAGGAAGCUCCGGCUAACUACGUGCCAGCAGCCGCGGUAAUACGUAGGGGGCGAGCAUUGUCCGGAAUUACUGGGCGUAAAGGGUACGUAGGCGGCUAUAUAAGUCAGGUGUGAAAUACCAGUGCUUAACACUGGAAUUGCAUUUGAAACUGUGUAGCUUGAGUGCAGGAGAGGAAAGUGGAAUUCCUAGUGUAGCGGUGAAAUGCGUAGAGAUUAGGAGGAACACCAGUGGCGAAGGCGACUUUCUGGACUGUAACUGACGCUGAGGUACGAAAGCGUGGGUAGCGAACA